rnacentral:rRNA from 1 species
CCUAUGGGGUGCANCAGGCGAGAAAACUUUGCAAUGUGCGAAAGCACGACAAGGUUAAUCCGAGUGGUUUCUGCUAAAGGAACCUCUUUGCCAGUCCUANAACACGACUGAGUGCAANGAAGCGCGUGGGCAA